CCUACGGGGGACAGCAGUGAGGAAUAUUGGUCAAUGGACGGAAGUCUGAACCAGCCAUGCCGCGUGCAGGAAGACGGCUCUAUGAGUUGUAAACUGCUUUUGUACAAGGGUAAACCUGAAUACGUGUAUUCAGCUGACAGUACUGUACGAAUAAGGAUCGGCUAACUCCGUGCCAGCAGCCGCGGUAAGACGGAGGAUCCAAGCGUUAUCCGGAUUUAUUGGGUUUAAUGGGUGCGUAGGCGGAUUGAUAAGUUAGAGGUGAAAUGUCCGAGCUUAACUCGGGAACUGCCUCUAAUACUGUUGAUCUAGAGAGUAGAUACGGUAGGCGGAAUGUAUGGUGUAGCGGUGAAAUGCUUAGAGAUCAUACAGAACACCGAUUGCGAAGGCAGCUUACUAAGCUAUAUCUGACGUUGAGGCACGAAAGCGUGGGGAGCAAACAGGAUUAGAUACCCUAGUAGUC
rnacentral:rRNA from 1 species